UACGGAGGGUGCAAGCGUUAUCCGGAUUCACUGGGUUUAAAGGGCUCGUAGGCGGCCAACUAAGUCAUACGUGAAAUCCCUCGGCUUAACCGGGGAACUGCGUCUGAUACUGGAUGGCUUGAGAUUGGGAGAGGGAUGCGGAAUUCCAGGUGUAGCGGUGAAAUGCGUAGAUAUCUGGAGGAACACCGGUGGCGAAGGCGGCAUCCUGGACCAACACUGACGCUGAGGAGCGAAAGCCAGGGGAGCAAACGGG
rnacentral:rRNA from 1 species